CAGUAGCCGCGGUAAUACGAAGGGGGCUAGCGUUGCUCGGAAUGACUGGGCGUAAAGGGCGCGUAGGCGGCAGCCAAAGUCAGGCGUGAAAUUCCCGGGCUCAACCUGGGGGCUGCGCUUGAUACUUGGUUGCUUGAGUGGGGAAGAGGGUCGUGGAAUUCCCAGUGUAGAGGUGAAAUUCGUAGAUAUUGGGAAGAACACCGGUGGCGAAGGCGGCGACCUGGUCCUUUACUGACGCUGAGGCGCGAAAGCGUGGGGAGCAAACAGGAUUAAAUACCCGGGUAGUCCCUGUCUCUUAUAC
rnacentral:rRNA from 1 species